AUUCAUGUUAUCCACGUUUUUCCUCUUCACCCUCUUUCAGCCACCUGAUUGCUUUCGCACACAGACAGCUGCCAGUGAAAGGAAGCCCUCAGGAUGUUGCACAGGCAAGGUUACGACUGUUCAACGGAGCCUGCUCAGUACUGGCCAAUGGGAUGAGGAUCCUCGGCAUCACACCGGUUGAUAAAAUGUGAAACUCACCAAAGGUUGUACUAACUCUACAAAUGUUAUUUCACUGUUGAUAAUACAGGUGUAAUUAAUUUGUACUGUAAAUAAGCAGCCUUACAUUUUAAAUUAAAUAUUAUCCUCCUUAAUUGAA